CGCCCGCAUGCACGGCUGAUCUUCUCACUUAGCACAGACGCACAGCACCAUCAGUCAUGAAUCUCUCUGCAUGCGCCGUUGCAGCUUACUUAGCGCUUCUUCUUUGGGUCAACUCGUCCGCCAGGCAAACCGACCGCGCUCCGCCGUGUAUGCAUCCCCGGCAUGUUUAUCAUCGUAGCUUGAUAACAUAUGUUCUCCUUUCCCUUUUACUUGAAACUUUAUAAGUAUGUACAUGGACCAGCUUUCUCGAUACUCUAAGCUUUUGGGUUAAUUAAUAGUCUCUUGCAUGGCCUGGGUUUAAUGUUUUAGUCUCCAGUCAUGCUUAUUGUCUUCAAGGUAGGUUAGUACUAAAAUUCAUAGAUAUCAAAAAGGUUAAAAAAUGUGCUCGAUAUCAUAUAUUAUGUUGAUGCACAUGGCUAACAAACUACGAUAGUUGCAGCAGACACUUUUAACUAACAUCUUGCAUGAGCUAAGGUUGAUGCGAAGCGUCAUGCACCAAGUGAAACAUGCAAGUUUCCAUUCGAGAGUAACGACUAAUGAUAGAAGAGAUUGCUAUGUUUGUUUGACGAUAUACUUGGAGACAAACAAGCUGAUGAUCACGAAGAGAAUCCAUUGAUAGAAACCGAGGGGACAACGAGCUACGGGAAGGGGAUGGUGCACACAGUUCGAAUUGCCGGGUCAAGAUUGCCGGAUUGCUCACACGCAUGUGGUUCAUGCUCUCCUUGUAAAUUGGUAUCAGUAGGCUUAACUUGUGCACGGGCACGGCUCACCGAGUCUUGCCCUAUUUCCUACCGCUGCAUGUGUAAAAACAAACUGUAUCCUGUCCCGUAAUCAAUCUCUCUCUCUCUCUCUCCCCACUGCGUAUUAUGAUAACCUUACUGUACAUAUCGAAUGUAUAUUGAUUUCUCCUAGGUCUGAGUUAUUAUUCUAUUUUGAUGUUCGUUAACCACGAUGUUGUCACGAUCUCUAGUCUUAUACUCUAAAAUUACUCUUGAUGAA